rnacentral:rRNA from 1 species
UAGUCAUAUGCUUGUCUCAAAGAUUAAGCCAUGCAUGUCUAAGUAUAAACAACUUUAUACUGUGAAACUGCGUACAGCUCAUUAUAUCAGCAAUAAUUUAUUUGAUGGUACCUUACUACAUGGAUACCCGUAGUAAUUCUAGAGCUAAUACAUGCGUAACGUCCCGACCCUUGCGGGGAGGGAUGUAUUUAUUAGAUACAAAACCAAUGCGGCUUUCGGGUCGGUUCCUUUGGUGAGUCAUAAUAACUGAUCGAAUCGCAUAGCUUCACGCUGGCGA